rnacentral:rRNA from 1 species
UNACANGUAAGUCUGCUCAAUGGAAUAUUAAAUAGCCGCAAUCGUGCUAAGGUAGCAUAAUCAUUUGUCUUUUAAAUGAAGACUAGAACAAACGACUUAACAUUUUAAUUAAUAUCUUUAUAUCAUAAAUUAAACUUUACAAAAAUGUAAAAAAUCAUUUACUUUUAAGAAAGACGAUAAGACCCUAUUGAACUUUACUUAAGUUUUACUGGGGCAGUAAAUUAAUUAUUAUUUUAUUAUAAAUAAUAUAGAAAAAAUCUAAAACAUUUAAUUAAUUCAGUUACCAUAGGGAUAACAGCGCAAUAAAAUUUUAAAGAUCUUAUUAAAAAUUUAGUUUACGACCUCGAUGUUGAAUUAAUAACCUAAUUAAAGCAAAAUUUAAAACAAGGAAGUCUGUUCGACUUUUAAAAAAUUACAUGAUCUGAGUCAAAACCCGGAGA